rnacentral:lncRNA from 1 species
UUUUUUUUUUUUGAUCGGGCAAAGUCAUGUUAGAUGUUAGUAGUUAGUUCCCCCCAUCCACUCCAAGAACCACCUUAUCUCUCCAUUCACCAAAUCACCAAAUCCACCUUAUAUCUCCAAUCUCCAAUUCGCUCCCAAGAGGGAUCGAACCCGGGUCACUUCACUUAAGUGAGGACCUGGUGGCCAGUGGGCUAAGCCCCCUGGUUGAAGUUGAUUAUGUUCUUCAUUAGCAUACUCAAAAUUCAAACGACGAGAAGAUGAACCACCAAUAUCCAUG